rnacentral:tRNA from 1 species
UGUAAUUUAGUUUAUGAUGAACAUAAAUUUUUGAAAUUUAAAGAUGAGUUUAACUCUCAAUUUUACAG